ensembl:lncRNA
GGGGAAGAGGAAAGAUGAGAGAAUGAUCAGUUGGAAUAGGAUGAUGAAGAAGAGGAAAGAGUGGAAGAGGAGAGGAGGAGGAAGAGGAGAGGAGGCGGAAGAGGAGAGGAGGAGGACAAUGGCGCGGAGUUGGAAGAAGAGGAUGAAGAAGAGGAAAGAGUGAAGAGGAUGGAGAGGAUAUAGUCAGAGAGAGAGAAAAAGAAAGAAAGAAAGAAAGAGAGAGAGAGGAAAGAGUGAAUACCAAAGACAAGAGUAGCACAGAGUAGAGAGGAGGAUGACAAAAUCAUGAAAAGAUGAUCAUAGAGAGAGAGUUGUCUAAAGAGGAUAGAGAGAGAGAGAGAGAGAGAGAGGUGUCUGAAGAGGAGAAAGAGAGAGAGGAGAGAGAGGUGUCUAAAGAGGAGAGAGAGGUGUCUGAAGAGGAGAGAGAGGUGUCUAAAGAGGAGAACGAGAGAGAGAGAGAGGUGUCUGAAGAGGAGAAAGAGAGAGAGGCGAGAGAGGUGUCUAAAGAGGAGAGAGAGGUGUCUAAAGAGGAGAGAGAGAGAGAAGAGAGAGGUGUCUGAAGAGGAGAAAGAGAGUUGUCUGAAGAGGAGAAAGAGAGAGAGGAGAGAGAGGUGUCUAAAGAGGAGAGAGAGAGUGAGAGAGAGGUGUCUGAAGAGGAGAAAGAGAGAGAGGAGAGAGAGAGAGAGGAGAGAGAGAGAGAGAGAGGUGUCUAAAGAGGAGAAAGGGAGGAGAGAGAGGAGAGAGGCGUCUAAAGAGGAGAAAGGGAGGAGAGAGAGGAGAGAGGUGUCUGAAGAGGAGAACGAGAGAGAGGAGAGAGAGGUGUCUAAAGAGGAGAACGAGAGAGAGAAAGGUGUCUAAAGAGGAGAGGGAGAGAGAGGAGAGAGAGGAGAGAGAGGUGUCUAAAGAGGGAGAGAGAGAGGAGAGAGAGGUGUCUAAAGAGGAGAAAGGGAGGAGAGAGAGGAGAGAGGUGUCUGAAGAGGAGAGAGAGAGGAGAGAGGUGUCUGAAGAGGAGAGAGAGGUGUCUGAAGAGGAGAGAGGUGUCUAAAGAGGAGAAAGGGAGGAGAGAGGUGUCUGAAGAGGAGAGAGAGGAGAGAGAGUGGUGUCUGAAUAGGAGAGAGAGGUGUCUGAAGAGGGGGGAGAGAGAGGUGUCUAGAGAGGAGAGAAAAGAGAGGAGAG